rnacentral:lncRNA from 1 species
GAUAACCUCAAACAAUCAUAGUCUGGGAGAGGAUUCAAUCUGCUUUGUGAUCUGCCUCAUUAGGGACACCUCCAAAUAUGAAAGACUGGAAGAAAGUAUGCCAUGGGCUAUGUUAGUCCUGCUGUUGUCCUUUAUAGCUUUUUUUGACCUUCUCUCAAGGUUAAAAUUAGUAUUGGAGUCAAGCUUCUAAUUCAGAGAGAGGCUGGUCUGACCCAGAGCAGCCGUUCUGUUUCUCAGUGUGAAGCCUGGUCCAGUCAAUGGAGCCAGCCUUGCUGAGCUCAGCCCUUCUCAGGGCAGAUAUCCCCCAGGAAUCACUGACUCUGCUGUCCUUCCUACAGGCCAAAACUCAGUGAAUCACACUUCAGCUGCUAAUGUCAGGUUGUGAAAAGUUCCAUGCCUGAGGCUCCUCUGCUGUGCUGGUGAAACCUCUGCUGCUCCAUGUUGAUGCUGCUCCCUCGUGCCAUCCCCUGCUCACUGACACAAGACAAAAUGUGUCUGGGCAAGGAAUUGAUCUAAUGGAACUCCAAGGGUGAUUAGCUGUGAUGGAAGCAGCCAUACUGAAGACAACAAGGCCUCAUUUCAGUCAGUGCCAGCCAAAGCAGCCACUGUUUGGGAGUGCUGGGGCAGAGCUGAUCCCUGUGCCAGGGCUGCAAUCAUUGGGUGCUGGCAGAGAAAUGUUCCCUUGAAUUGUGACACAGCCAUUUUCAUCUCACAGGAUGAGAUACAGGAGAGGUCAGUGUAAUCACCAUAACCUACUCC